GAAUUUUAUAUAGUUAUUAAAAUUAAUUUUAUUUAAUAAAAUAAUUUUAAUUUAUAUUUGAUUGGGAGGAUUAUUAAAUUUUUAAAACUUUAAUUUAAAAAAUUUUACAUAAAUUAAUGAAUAUAAAAAAUUAAUUAAAGUAAAUUUGUAUGGAAAAAUUAAUUGCCUUAGGGAUAACAGCGUAAUAUUUUUAGAGAGAUCUUAUUAAUAAAAAUGUUUGC
rnacentral:rRNA from 1 species